CACCUCUCAGGUUCACACCUGGAGAGUUUCCUGUACUCCACCAGUCUCAACUAUGGGAGGGAGAGUCAGGCAGAGGUGUAUCCAUUCCAUUCCUAGCUUUGGCAGUGGCUGGAAAGUGGAAGGCAAUCUGCUACAAGU